rnacentral:rRNA from 1 species
UACGGAGGGGGCUAGCGUUGUUCGGAAUUACUGGGCGUAAAGCGCACGUAGGCGGCUUUGUAGGUUAGAGGUGAAAGCCCAGGGCUUAACCCUGGAAUUGCCUUUAAGACUGCAUCGCUAGAAUCGUGGAGAGGUAAGUGGAAUUCCGAGUGUAGAGGUGAAAUUCGUAGAUAUUCGGAAGAACACCAGUGGCGAAGGCGACUUACUGGACACGUAUUGACGCUGAGGUGCGAAAGCGUGGGAGCAAACAGG